GACGAACGCUGGCGGCGUGCCUAAUACAUGCAAGUUGAGCGCUGAAGGUUGGUACUUGUACCAACUGGAUGAGCAGCGAACGGGUGAGUAACGCGUGGGGAAUCUGCCUUUGAGCGGGGGACAACAUUUGGAAACGAAUGCUAAUACCGCAUAAAAACUUUAAACACAAGUUUUAAGUUUGAAAGAUGCAAUUGCAUCACUCAAAGAUGAUCCCGCGUUGUAUUAGCUAGUUGGUGAGGUAAAGGCCCACCAAGGCGAUGAUACAUAGCCGACCUGAGAGGGGGGUCGGCCACAUUGGGACGGAGACACGGCCCAAACGCCUACGGGAGGCAGCAGUAGGGAAUCUUCGGCAAUGGACGAAAGUCUGACCGAGCGACGCCGCGGGAGGGAAGAAGGUUUUCGGAUCGUAAAACUCUGUUGGUAGAGAAGAACGUUGGUGAGAGUGGAAAGCUCAUCAAGUGACGGUAACUACCCAGAAAGGGACGGCUAACUACGUG
rnacentral:rRNA from 1 species